rnacentral:lncRNA from 1 species
CUGACUUAUGUCGAGAAGACCUGCCUGAUCAACCAACUUAGUAAAAUACGAAAGAAAUCUUCAAGACCUGACUAACUGGCAUUGCUCGUCCUUAAUCUAGUCCAGUAGGGAGUGAAAAUGAUGAUGGUGACUUACAACAAUGACAUCACAAGACUGCCUCGGAUGAGACCUUAUAGCUCAUUCCUGAAAAUAAAGGUAAUCAAUUGAAAAAUGAUGCCACCGACUCAAUAAAGCUAAGAACGAACCUAAAGUACUAUAGCUUCUGAUGUAAAAGCUCCAGACC